ensembl:lncRNA
CAAGAAAGGCUCCAUGUAAGAAACACACCUUCAGCUCCAGAUCUCAGUGGUAGGUGAAGUUCAAGUCUCUUGUCUUCUCCCUCAGGGCAACAUCAGCCUAGGGAAGACUUCAUUUAUGGAAUAGUACUCCUGAAGAGCCAAGGUUUGGUGUUCAUGAAAAUUAUCAGGAUUUUCACCCAGAUGGAAAACUCUUUCAGCCUUAUCCUCAGAUGCGCAACUCAGAUGCACCAUAAACAGUUCUGAGGAUCUUCAAAUUUCAUCCUGAAUAAAAGAAGCAGAAAACAAUAAUUGCAGCCAUAGGAGUGGAUUUGCUAUCAUUUAGAAUAAAUUAACCCAAGAUGCAGAACCUUUUGGUACUCAGAAAUCUUUACACUUCUAUGUCAUUAUGGUGGAUCUUGGCAAAUACCAUCCACAGUGGUAAAGAACAGAGGUGCAGCUUGACAGUAGAGUAACGCCCACUUCGAAGGGAUGCCAUUUUUCAAUAGAGGUCAAAGGAAAAGAAGGAGAAUAUGGGUGGAUUUUGAUAUUUUCAGUAUUCAUGCCUAAGACAUUUUUCCAGUUAAGAAUCAGUUACAUUUUAUUACAUCUAUAUCUUUGACUUAACUGCAGAGCUAUCAUUGGUCUUACCUUAGAAACACUAUUUUAAAACCAGUGCAUACAGAACAAAUACACUUAACUGUUGUGUGUGUGUUUAAAUGGAAACAAAUUUUCAUGUCAAUGUUUUUGGCAUAUCAAAAAUAUUAAGAAAAAAAUUCUUCCUUCUUCUCUCCCUUCCUCCCUUCCUUCUUUCUCUACUCUCAAUAUUUCUACAAAAAUUGUGACUGCUUCUAUUUUUGCUACUCCACAAAACAUGUAUAAAAAAGGAUAAGAAAAUCUCAUCUGGAGACAUCAUCUCAUUAAAUAAAAAAGGUUAAAAUAAAUAAAUGAGAUUAUAAGGAGAGACAUAAGCGAAGGCAAAGAAAAGCAAAGGAAGGAGACGAAAAAGCAGACAUGAAAAACAUGCCAGUGAGAUGGAAGGCAUGUUCUGUAGAAUGAAUGAGUAGCUGAAAUAACUUAAUUGUUAAUAGGUCCAAGUAUGUAUGAAAACAGUUAGGAAUUCAUUUUCCAACCAGUUUUCUAAGCAUGCUACAAUGAAGAGCGCUUUUCAUAAAUUUAAAUUCUAAUCAGUCUUCUAGCACUUUUCACAUUAAGUCAUUCCCCUUGUUUUAUGAACAGGAUUUGAAGAACUAGAGAAUUCAAAUAGGAAAUGCUCACAUUAAUUUACUGAUCUUUGCUGACAAUUUGAUUAUCUUCCAAUCACCAGACUAAUCUUUUCAGUACACAGAUGAGUAAUUCAAUGCCAAGUUUAGUGCAGCCAAAAUGAUAGCAAACACGUUAAUAAACAAGGCUGUAGUUAUUUCAGAACUGAUGACCCAAAUAAUAUGAAAGUUGAGAGAGGGUACAAUAUGUUAAAGAAUCUUAUUUUUUAACCAAUUUUGAUAGCUAAGACAAUCUAAAGUAAUACCAGUACACUAAGUAGUUAGUGUUAACAUUUUUUCAGUAGCACUGAGAGAAAUUAGACAUCUAGCUACCAGUUAAGUAAUUGGUUCCUUUCACAACUGCAACUUCACUUUCCUAAAACAGGAACAAAAUGAACCCGGAACAGAUAUCUGAAAAAUAGUUCAGCCUUUCCUAACAGGAAGAACUACUGCUUCACACUGUGCACAUGCAAUCUCUUGAUAGGAAAAGAAAUACAGACAGAAAUAAAUAGGAAAGCAGAAUACUCCAAAGAGGAAAACCUGUGUUAGUUCUUUAGCAGUCACUUACCUUCCUCCAGAGUGCAAGAUGUGUGGAGGAAUGUGGUUCAGUACAUGAUGAUGGCACACACAGGAUAAGCAACACAGAGAUACACAUGUAAAUGGAAAAGAAAGGAAAUAACCACUUCUAUGCAGCUCUUGCAAAACUUGGAAUACGGUCAAAUAUGGAAAUGCAGAAGGGAAAUGUGCUUGGCCAUGCUAGAAGGUAAAUGCAGUAGAACAGUUCAGGAGUAAGGUCAGCUGGAAAAUGUUUGGCUUCGCUAAGCAGAGUUGAAUUUGACUUCAGAAUUACGGAAUUGUAAUUAUAUUCACCUACAUACAUGGCAUGAUCUAUGUGAAGCAGAGUAGUUGUAAAAUGAACCUAAAGGUUUAGAAAAUAAAACUGACCAUUUUUAGCUGGUGAGGAUCUCAGGAUGAAACUUUGUAGUAGCCUGUAAACAUUAGAAAGAAAAAGAUAUAUAUGGAAAUUUGUCCUUCUUUAUUGCUUGUUAACUCUUUAUGUUUCCUCCACAGGGUUGUGGUACUAAUGCAUGAUGCUAUGAAAACAAAAUGGUAAAGCUUAUAACAAAGUUUCUAAAUUUCAGGUGGGAUAGGUGCCAUUGCAGUCUCUACUGUAUAUAUCUGCCAUUAAAAUAAAAGCAAAAAACAAACAAACAGAAAACAAAACAAACAAACAAAAAAUCCACCCACAAAACAAACAAAACAAAACAAAACAAAAAACCAAAAAACACCUGUUAUUAAGAAAAAAGUCAAUAGAUUUUAAGUCCCAGAGACUAUGUUCUGCUAAAACUAAAAUACUGGAAACUGGAAACAUUCAGCUCAAUUCUCUAAUCAAUCUUGGAUAUAUGAGGGCUGCUGUGAAAGUAAUGCCUCUUAUUUUAUUACGUUGGCCCCACAGCAUCAAAAGUGGAUGUUGGUGGCAUGGCAGUAGAGGUUGAAUCUUCCCACCAAUAUUCUGUUAUAUUUUGUUGUCGUGUGAC